rnacentral:rRNA from 1 species
GUCCAGACUCCUACGGGAGGCAGCAGUGAGGAAUAUUGGUCAAUGGGCGCGAGCCUGAACCAGCCAAGUAGCGUGAAGGAUGACUGCCCUACGGGUUGUAAACUUCUUUUAUAAAGGAAUAAAGUGAGGCACGUGUGCCUUUUUGUAUGUACUUUAUGAAUAAGGAUCGGCUAACUCCGUGCCAGCAGCCGCGGUAAUACGGAGGAUCCGAGCGUUAUCCGGAUUUAUUGGGUUUAAAGGGAGCGUAGAUGGUUUUUUAAGUCAGCGGUAAAAGCCGGGGGCUCACCCCCGGCGAGCCGUUGAAACUGGCUGUCUUGAGAUGUCGAGAGGUAUGCGGAAUGCGCAGUGUAGCGGUGAAAUGCUUAGAUAUUGCGCAGAACUCCGAUUGCGAAGGCAGCAUACCGGCGGCGAUCUGACGCUGAGGCACGAAAGCGUGGGUAUCGAACAGGAUUAGAUACCCGGGUACG